GGUUGAUAGGCCGGAUCUGGAAGCACGGUAACGUGUGGAGGUGACCGGUACUAAUAGGCCGAGGGCUUGUCCA
rnacentral:rRNA from 1 species